rnacentral:rRNA from 1 species
AGCGAACGCUGGCGGCAGGCUUAGCACAUGCAAGUCGAGCGGGCAUCCUUGUGGUGUCAGCGGCAGACGGGUGAGUAACGCGUGGGAACGUGCCCUUCGGUUCGGAAUAACUCAGGGAAACUUGAGCUAAUACCGGAUACGUGCGAGAGCAGAAAGGUUUAUCUGCCGAAGGAUCGGCCCGCGUCUGAUUAGCUAGUUGGUGAGGUUACGGCUCACCAAGGCGACGAUCAGUAGCUGGUCUGAGAGGAUGAUCAGCCACACUGGGACUGAGACACGGCCCAGACUCCUACGGGAAGCAGCAGUGGGGAAUAUUGGACAAUGGGGGCAACCCUGAUCCAGCCAUGCCGCGUGAGUGAUGACGGCCUUAGGGUUGUAAAGCUCUUUUCUCCGGGACGAUAAUGACGGUACCGGAGGAAUAAGCCCCGGCUAACUUCGUG